AAACGUGCUGAAAUUCGCUGUUGGCUUGCUGCUGCCCCCUCCUUCUCCCUGUUUCCAUUGGUUGAUCAUUGAAUCUGCGCUCCACAGAUGCUGGCUGUUUAGGUCUGGCGUGCACGUGCUUAACUCCAGGUCAAACUACUCGGAGUUGUUAAAACCGUCUCAAAUCAGGUAUUGUGAAACCGGAAACUCAGAGUUUCCUAACUCAGAGUAGAUCAACUCAGAGUUAAGGAUUUAACUCAGAGUUUGUUGAACCACCUACGUGAAACGGACCCCAGUUUCAAGGGUUUGGAUAGACAAAGGACUAGUCCAACAGAAACACAAGGGGGAAACUAAGGUGACUACAAACUUAACAUAUACCAAACUCAGACAAAACACCAUCAAUUUAUCCAAACCAACUUAUUUACAGAAAAAAAGACUCUGUACUGACUGAAAGAAUAAAGUCAAAAGUUUGAUAAAGAAUUUUAAGUCCAAGCUUCCCCUUGCUUCCCCCUUGAUGGUCUGUCCCACUUCCUGUGGGUAAAGCUUAAGAGGCCAUCUUGGAGCAGCAGACAGCCUUUUCUCAGGUAAGAUUAAGCAAAGACAAACAAAAAGGUAAGUAUUACUUUGAAAUGACAUAAAUUCAAGUUAAAUCAUGAUGUAGAAAACUUAACCAAUGGCACAUUUUGGUAACUUAAUUCUGUGCACCCAAAUUAGAAAACAACUGCCAUAAAUGCAAUAAAAGUGAAUUUAUUUCAACAACAAAAGUGUGUAAUGUGUUUUUUUUUUUUUUUAAAUGAAACAAAUAUACUGUGUUAAAACCCAAAGACAAAUACAUACUCUCACGAGGUGGUGGUUGAGGCCACCCCAACGCCAAACCAAACUGAAAACCUAUCUAAAACUAAAACUUAACUAAAACGGAUCUACACAGUGAACAAAAAAAAAAAAAGAGUGAGACAUGUUAUGAGGGCACAUUAUUAUUAUACCUGAGAAGAAUUUAGGUAUUUGCACUUUUGAUAUAAAUAUAAAUGUAUAUUACCUGUCAAUGUUCCACAUUAAGGUAACAUUGAGUUAUUGUCAAUGAGUUGUGAUGAAAAAAAUCUGGAUUGCUGGGAGCAGGCCUGGCUAAACAUUUAGACUGCAGCAGGAAGGACUUGGUAUCUCUCUGUCACACACCGCGGCUGCAGAAGUCUGUCACUGAAGGAACUUCCCAGUGUUGUUACAGUGUUCUGGAGGAGGUGGGAAAUAUCCCACUGAGCAAAAGACGUAUAUUAGACGUCUAGUCUAAAUUUAUACUUCAUUUCAACGUCGGGAUUUGGUCUAUUUCUAGACGUGAUUUAUACUCCGCCCUCAACUUUAUUUUCGAUAACUUUUUAUGCAAUAAACAACUGUUAUGUGCAUAACUGACCUCUAAAUACUGGAUUAAAUUACUUAUGAUACCAUGAAGAGAUAUGCAGCAUAGAAUAGAUGUAGACGUCAUUUACACGUAUAAAUUUAUACUUCAUUUCAACGUCUGGAUUCAUCUUUUUUUAGACGUGAUUUAGAUGUAAAAAUGUAUACGUCAUUUCAACGUCUACAUAUAGACCGAAUCUAGACAACCGAUUUUAAUCCACAAUUCAAGAGUUGAUUAUUUAAAAUGAUAACUGAACGUUGCAGAACUGAUAUCAAUCUAUGGGACUACUGUCAUACUCCAGAGUGUGACCAGUGUUUUCGCCAUAUCCGGUCAAAACGCAUAUACGGCAAAAAAAACAAAAAAAAAACAACUUUGGAUCUUAAAGCCUGGGUCCUGCUGAGUACUAGACAACAAAGUUGGUCGCUGAAAUUCAAUUUAAUUAUUAGAUUUCAUGUGUUUUAUCCGUCUUGGUAACACCGGCUGCCGCCGUGACAAUAAUCCAGCCACCUUAUAGGUGGAGCACGCUCACGUGACCCACUGUGCAACCACUUCAGGUAGAUUCUUAUUCCACCAAGAGCGAAGUAGUCCCUGAUAAAAGUUAUCGGCAUAGCCGCAAGAACACGAGAUGAGUGACAAAAAGUAUUUGGUAUCUCUGCAAGAGCCCAGCUUCCCAGCGUUCAUUUCAGUGAACCGGAUCAUUCCGGGUCGUUCAGUAAAAAGACCCGUUCAUUUUGGUCAAUCGGUCGUUAGUCAGUCCGCUCGUUCAUGUUGUUCACGUUCGAACGAACGUGAUGAGCGAACGGACUGACUGCACUUCAGACUCAACAGCGCAACAACCAUAGACUGUAUAUAAGAUGGACAGAGUCUGCCUCCUCGCUGGGUGAAGCCACUCCGAGAACAGCACCCUCUGAUGGUGGGCUGCAGUACAGAUCAUAAAUCCCGCCUCCACCAGCAGAGCUUAUGGAGUUGUGGACAAACUUUAGAAAUGUAUUACACAGAACAUAAAUUUUUCUCCCCCCUGCUUGUGAUGUUGACAUGUAGUUACAGUAAGACUGGUUUGUGCCCAAGUCCUUUUUUUCUGUACAGCUCUGUUUUUAAAAGUUAUUAGGGGGUUCAUGUUUUCUAUGAUUGACACCUGGUAUAGCCUAUGGGCGUUCACGGAUAGCGUAGCUCUUCCAGGGGAUACGCUGUUUGAGCCGAGCGUCAUCACAGCGACUCUCGGCGACUGCGCAGCCGAAUGCGCACAACGCUACUGCACAGCUCUGGUUUCAAGGAAGUGGAGAAAAACCCGGAAUUACCGAGAGCUUUUUGGCUUCAAAUCCGUAUACAGGCGGAAGGCGGAACCACAUUGUCCAUCUUAUAUACAGUCCAUGGCAACAACAUGUGAUCUUGAAAUCUGAAGCAUUACACCCCUCCGAAUCCGACGUUGCGAGCGUCUCAGCUCCCCGGUCCGACGUUACGACCCCCCGCGGUCCGACGCUGUGACCGCUGCACUCCCCACUUCCCACCCCCCGGUCCAACGCUGCGAUCGCGCUGCACUCCUUGUAAUAUAAAAUUAUAGUAGGAAUAACAAAAUAUAUAAGGUUUUUUAAUGGCUUUUAUUAUUUUGAGGUGCAUUAAAAACAAUAAUAAAAAGUACAAAAUGUCAACAGACAGUGCAAAUGCGUAUUAAUAGUUGUCUCUCUGCCUCUGGCUGCAGCAGCAGCUGUGUGCCUUUGUGUGUGUGUGUGUGUGUGUGUGUGUGUGUGUGUGUGUGUGUGUGUGUGUGUGUGUGUGUGUGUGUGUGUGACUGUCCCGCUCGCUCGGGCUCGGCUGUCGGCUCGUGCGGCGGCCAGUCAACUCGGUCUUUCGUUCAACACGUUCAUCCGUCUGGGUCUUUCGUUCAACUCGGUCUUUCAGUCAACUCGUUCAUCCGUCUGGUGCUGCGUCGGAAUUGCCCGCUCGCAUACUACAUGCUACUGCUAGAUCCUACUCCUACAUACUAAACACGUUGGCCCAAUUCGGACACACUAGACGAGCGGUGGGGAAAGACGACCCCCGCAGGCAGAGAGUAGGUACUGCGCCCGUUUUAGACUGAAUGGUAAUUGUGCAAGUGAUGGAUGCUGCUGUAUUAUAUUCUUGCACUGCUUUAGAAAUUCACAAAGUAGCUUUUCCAUUACUUUUAGCCUUCAUUCACUCACGUGGUGAUCGUUUGUUCAAUGAGAUCUGCCUGAUUACUGCAGCUGUGCAGUUUAAUGAUGGAAUAAGUGAGCUUUACCUCCAUGAUGUCGCCACAUAUUUGCUCAUAAAAUGAUUACUUGGGCAAAUAUGACACCAUGACAUGACAAAGAGAUACAACCGCACAUUUUUUAGGACAGUGUGUGAAGUUACAUGAAACUUACAUCUGUACUGCUGCGGUCCCGCCUGCUGCUGCUGCUGCUGCUGCUCCGACGUGGUGCGCGCUGCUGUGGCCAGCCGGCGUUCGCGACACAUUUAAAUAGACAGAGCAGCUGGUGGCGCUAGCAUCACAUGAGCUUCUUCAACUUUUAAGAGGACGAAGAAGAAGCCCGCGGUGCAUUUUGGGUCAGUAGCAUGCCCGUAGGAUGCACCGAGACCAACCUACAAUGUGGGCGUGUCUAGUAUCUGAAGUAGUAUCUGAAGUAGCAUGCUACUCGCUCCGGUGGCCAAUUCGGACAUGCUAGAUACUACUUCGACUACUACUUGGCAAUUCGGACGCAGCUCCGGUCUUUCAGUCAGCUCAGUAGUACUGCUGCUGCUUCUCUAAGCCCCACCCACACACAGAACGAGGCGCGACGAUAGGAUAGGACAGGCAAGCACGGAGAUAGUCCCUCUUCAGCCAAUCAAAAGAACUGAACGGACUGAACGGGUCAUUUAGGGGUGGAGAACUAGUUCAUUUCGUUCACCAAAAAGAACUAGUUCUUUUGAUCCGUUCGUUCAAGACCAACACACCACUACACUCGACCUCACGACCGUCGGACUACACUAGAAGUUCCAGUCGUUCCAGAGUUCGAGAAUUAUACUUUCAGCUGAGAAGAGGUGGGUGCUGAAGGAGAUAUUAUAGAAAAUGUUUAUUUUUGCAAGCUUUAGUCCCCCCAAACUCGAGUUCGCAUGUAGCCUGGUUGCUACUACGAGGGCUAGCUUGUGGCUAGUUUAGCGAGCAUCAAAUAGUCCAUGCUAACCUGUGUUGUCAUGAAAGUAAAUAAGGGCCUGCUCUCUCUGUUGGAGCCAAGUUUAAAAGCUGCUAGUUAGGCUAUCCAUUUAAAUUAGAAAAUGAAGCCUAUUUUGAUGCCAGUACUGUUGUUUUUGUUUAUCCAGUGGUAUUUUUUUAUAUAAUUAAAUUUGUGUUUAACUGUAAUUGUCAUAGAUUGUGUUUUCACGAUGUGUGGUAGAAAUGGGACGCAUUAGUUGAAUUAUUCCAAUAUUAUUUUGUUAAUGCAUUAGCAGUGCUAUAGGAAAUGCUAAUAGUAAAAAUCUAAAAGUACCGGUAUCGACAUAUUUUUUACCAAGAGCAAAAGGUAUUCAUUGUGCAUUAUGUCCUGCUUCACAAGUUGCCAAUUGUACUAAAAACACAAAACAAUUUUAUAAAGGUUGAUCUACAAGCUCACACUGUUAUUAACAUUAUUGUUUUUCUACUUUCUUUUUUCCAUGUGUUUUCUUUCCAGCCAAAUUGAAUAUGGCCUCUAAUUAUUUGAAAGAGUGGCGGAGAAAAAGAGCUAGGGAGGGUGAUUUCAUGGAUGAAUAUUUGAAUUGGAUUCAAGGUAAGGAUUUAUCAGGUUUAGCAGUGGUUUUUAAGUAGGGUGGGGGCUAUUUUAAAAUAGUGCAACAGCAUAUGAUUUUGUGUUUAACAGCCAAAGUUAAGCACCACACUCAUCAUCCAUUUAUUGUCUCGUUCUCUGAUUUUGCAGCGAGGAAGAGGGUUUAUUCCUACCCAAUGCCUGAGGAAAGUAAGAGUGGCAUAACUACAGUACAAAAUGUUGUUAUGUAAUGUAUUGUAAUUAUUGAAUUGAAUGUUACUAAAUCAUAUCUUUUCACUAAGAGUUCCAGCGGGUGGUCAUGGAAACACUUUUGGAAAUCCGCGAUGAAUUGAAAUCGCUCAAGCAGAAGGGGGACAUUAAAGAUGAGGGUGAGCAGAUACGUCAGUUGCCGUUAAGGACUUUGGAGGAGGUUCAGCGCAUGUCGUUGGAAAUCAGUAGGCACCCCAGCAUAAAACGUUUACUGGUAAGUCAAAUAGAGAUGCUAAAAAUUAUAGAAAUCUAUACAUUAGACACUCUUGAUAAUUUGAUUAUAUCAUACAGAUAAAACAACUGUCACACCUUGGGGGGAAGGACAUUAAGACCUGCACACGCAGGAUCCUGGACAGGUAUGAAUAUGACAGCAAGACAAUGUUAUUAAUAUAAUCAUGUAUUGUUGGUGUUUAUCAAGUCUUUCUAGUAAAUUGCAAGAGUAAGCAGUAUUAAGGUGCGUUCACACAGGCACUUGCGCAGCGGCGACUAGGGUUUCUCUGACGUUUUAGGGACUUGUUACGCAAAUAAAGAGCAGCGCUGGACACAGUAUCCGACGAGAUCGAGGGGAAACCUAGAGUGGGCGUGACGUAAUGCGCAACGCAAAUGACGGUGGCAAAAGGACACGUUUAAGGACACGCGACAGGACAAGUUGCGUUGCCUGUCCGGUGUGAACGCACCUUAAGAGAUUUAUUUGUCUUUGAUAUCCAUUUCAGAAUUUUACACAAUGACGUGCAAAGGAACUACAACCUCCUGGGUAGAGGACGCCAGGGGAAAAAAAGCUUAAAGAAAACUGCUUUCUUCACAGUUGUUCUUGGUAAAUGAAUAUAUCUCUGCAAGUUAUUACUUAUUCUUGGUCAUGUUACUGACUCAUUUAAAGCCUGAAGCUGUAAAAAAGUGAAGAAUCCUUCCGGACAAUACUAGAUAAUUUCUACACUUACUAUGAUUUAAGUUUCUUUUGUUUUUUUUCUUUUUGCAGAGUCUGUUCGCACUAACUUCCCGACGGCAACAGAGGAACUGGUCGCAACAUCGAUUGGGGACCAUUUGAAACAGGCACCAGCUCGAUGUGGUGGGAGGGGCACCACCACAACACCACCCUGCUAAUUUUUUAAAAAAAUAUAUCUUAAAAUUGUUAAUAUUUAUAGUUCAUUUCAGUAUUAGUAUUAGUUAAAUUUUUCUUUAUGUUGUUGUUCUUGUUCUUUAUACUUUGUAGCUAUGUUUUUAUAUAGAUACAUAGAUUUUUUUCUUUUUUAAAUGUUCGUUUUACUAGAUGUGGAAUUAAAAAAUUGUUUUUCCCACUCCAUGACUGUAAUGGUUAUAUGCUGAGUAAAAUAUGUACUGUGAUUUCAAUUACAGUGGACUGAUGGUUGCCAAAUGUC
rnacentral:lncRNA from 1 species